rnacentral:rRNA from 1 species
AUGGGUUCUCGCCGUCGUCCCAGUCCUACCACUGCCCUAGUCUUGGUGCUGCUAUGGCUCUACUAUACGCCGCGCCGGACCUUCUCACUCUCCUUCAACCUCAACUUCUCCGACCCCAGCGCCUUCUCGUCUAUCGUCACCGCCGGCGACGCAUCCAUCAGUGCACCCACGCUCGAGCUCACAAGAAAUGCACGCCAAUUUCCCGACAUUCGGAACAGCGUCGGACGGGCGACGUUCGCGCACAAAGUGCGGCUAUGGAGCAGCGCCACUCGCGAGAUGGCUAGCUUCACCACCAACUUCUCCUUCCAAAUUACUCCUGCUCCUGCUGCAUACAACAUUCCAUUUCCCUACGGUGAUGGGAUGGCCUUCUUCCUCGGGCAUUUCCCUACGGCGAUCCCGCAGAACAGCUCCGGCCGCAACCUCGGCCUCCUCACGGACUUCACUACCGGGACAGGCGACGGCCGGAUCGUGGCCGUGGAGUUCGACACAUACUCCAACCCGAUAUAUAAUGAUAUCAACGGGAACCAUGUCGGCAUCGACGUCAACUCCCUCUACUCCAUGGCGUCCACGGACACUACAACCUCGCCGGGAAAGAACCUCUCGUCGUCCAUUGUUAUGGAAGCCACGGUGACGUACCACAAUGACACCAAGAUGCUGGCCGUUGAUCUCCUCAUCGGCGACGCUUUGUACCGGGUCAACGCAACCGUUGACCUGAGCAGAAUUUUGCCGGAGGAGGUAGCUGUUGGCUUCUCCGCGGCGACUGGCUUAUCUGCGGCUGGGCUACAGCAGGUGCUGUCAUGGUCAUUCAGUUCAACUCUACCUGAUUUUCCAACCAGCAACAGCUACAAAAAGUUGGUAAAAAUCCUACUAUCUGUACUAGUUCCUGUACUUUUUUUCUUGGUAUGUGCGGUUGUGGCAUGGCGGCGACACAAGAAAAUAAGAGCAAAUAAGCAUGGCCAAGAACAGUGUGUCGGCAGAGCUGGCCUCGAGAGAGGUGUAGCUGCCGGCGGCCCCGGGCGGUACACGUACCGCGAGCUGGUUGCCGCAACAAGCAACUUCGCGGAGGAGAAGAAGCUGGGACGAGGCGGCUUCGGGGGCGUUUACGGGGGUCACCUCACACUCAAACACGCUGCCGACCGUCGGGCGGUGGCUGUAAAGAUGUUGUCAGCAGAGUCAUCGGCGCAGGGGCGGAGGGAGUUUGAGGCAGAGGUGAGGAUCAUCAGCAGGCUGAAACAUCGCAACCUUGUGCAGCUGCUGGGCUGGUGCGACAGCCGCAAGGGGCUCCUCCUCGUCUACGAGCUGGUCACGGAGGGCAGUCUAGACAGGUAUCUCUACAACAACAACAGAUGCUUGACAUGGCCACAAAGGUACAAGAUCAUCCUCGGCUUGGGAUCGGCGUUGCGCUACCUCCAUGGAGAGUUUGAGCAGUGCAUCGUGCACGGCGACAUUAAGCCCAGCAACAUCAUGCUCGACUCGUCGCUCAGCACCAAGCUCGGGGACUUCGGGUUAGCUCGGCUCGUUGACCACGGCACCGGGUUAAUGCAGACCACCAAGGCUGUGCUCGGCACCGCCGGCUACAUUGACCCGGAGUUCGUCAACACCCGCCGGCCCAGCACCGACUCUGACGUGUAUAGUUUCGGCAUCGUCCUACUGGAGAUCGUCUCUGGCCGGCUGCCGGUCACCGAAACCGCGGGGAAACCCUUCUCACUGCUCAAAUGGGUGUGGAGCCUGUACGGCAGGGAUAAAAUCCUAGACGCGGUGGACCCGCGGCUAAGGAGUGUCGAGGACAACGAGUGGUGGAUGGAGCGGGUGCUCGUCGUUGGGCUCUGGUGCGCACUCCCGGACCGGAGCGAGCGGCCGUCCGUCGGGCAGGCCAUGAACGUCCUUGAGUCAGACGAGGCAAGGCUACCGGAGCUACCGCCGUACAUGUACAGGUCCGCACGGCCGGAUCCUGGGUCGUUCGGCCGGCACGGUAAUUUCUCCAUCGACAGCCCCGACCCCAGUUUUGUUCGCUCUUCUUCGGGCAACACCGGCGACACCAUUCUUUUCCCGGACUCAUCGCCGACUGUGUCGGUUUCAUGUUCCAGGUUUCCAACGGUAUAG